GAGCGCGGGCGCCGGGCCGCCGCGGCGGGAUGGGGCGGCUCGGGGCCCGCCGCCUCGUCCUGCUCGCCGCCUGCCUGGGGCUCUGCGGGGCGCGCGGGGCGCUCGGAGCAUCUUUUUAUGGUGAAAGCUAUGUGGAGCUCAACAUCAUAGAAGUUUCGUCUGAGUUCUCUCUUCAAUUAAAAUUUCAAACCAGCAAACCACAGGGAUUACUUUUUCUUGCAGCUGGAAAGAAUGACUACUGUAUAAUAGAACUGCUAUCAGGAAACUUACGGGUGAGGGUGAAUUUGGGUGCAGGCGAACAAGUACUCCUUUCUGAGCAAAGACUUCGUAUGGAUGACCUGGUUUGGCACUUAGUGGAACUGUACUGUUUUAAAAACAGUAUCUCUCUGGUUAUCGACAAACAUUAUGAGACAACUGGCCAGAUCGCUGGUGGGAUGCACAAUUUGCACUUUCAACAUGGAAUCUAUAUAGCAGGCCAUGGUGGACUUGAUGUCACUUACCUAGAUGGAGAGCGCCCCAAUUUCCGCGGGUGUAUGGAGGAUGUGGUAUUUAACCAGAGGGAGAUCCUUGCAUCCCUUAGAUCUUACCCUAGUUUUAAGAAGGUUUAUGAGGUGUCACUAGGAUGCAGUGAUGAAUUUUUUGCCGGGGAGGAUGAAGCCAUCAAUUUCUUUAGCUCCAGAUCCUAUGUCACCUUCCCAGAAUGGAGGGUGCAAGGGGAAGGGCUGUUGGAAUUUGCUUUGCAGACUGCAACUCAACAAGCUUUGCUUUUAUUUCAGUCAGGAAGAGAAGGAAGUUUUGUUGCUUUGGAAAUAGUUAAUGGUCUGUUGAAGGCUCAUGUAGGAAGGAGCAAAAGUAAUACCCAGCUCUCUUCUUUUAGCUUAGUUAGUGACAACAAGUGGCAUGUUAUUCAACUCAAAUUCAAUGGAGGGUAUCUGGACCUGAUGGUGGAUGAGCAAGCGGUAAGAACACCGCUGCCUUUGCAAAGCAAGUCAUUUGUCUCAGAAGGCCCCCUCUUUGUGGGAGGUCUUGAUAACCAUAAAGGAGAAGAAGUUAAGAAGUUGGAACUGGCCUCCGUGCCCAGGAAAUCUGCUCAAGGAAUCUCUUUCAAAGGGUGCUUAAGAGGCUUGGAGGUCAACUCAGAAAAGAAAGCAUUGAAGAAUGCCCUUGUGUCCAAAGAUAUAGCUGUUGGGUGUAAAGUGCAGAGUAGUGAUAAUGAAAACCCUUUCAUUAUGACAACAGAAUACCUGCAUCCAUCAGAAGUUCCCCUUUCCACUGUAGUCCCUGAGGCAGGAAAGCCUUUUAUUCACCAUGCGAGUAGCUAUUUCUUGAGUCUGAAUAACUUGGAGGUCCAAGAAGGUGGGCGAGCCUUUCUGGAACAAAGGCAUAUGAAAGUGGAUGUGGCAUCCGAAGAUUUGGGUAUCCAUCAUUCUCAAAUACUAUUUAAAAUAGAGGAAAUGCCCCUGCAUGGGUUCCUUCAAAUCGAUGUUUCUCCUGCGCAGGGAAUGGAGAAGGCUUUUACUAUGUUAGAUUUGGGGCAAGGAAAAAUUUGGUAUGUCCAUGAUGGUUCAGAAGAACCUAGGGAUUUUUUCACAUUUUCAGUCUCUUCCAACAGCAAGGAAAUGCCAUUACGUCUGCAAGGACAUGUGCCAUAUGUGUUUAACAUUACUGUCCUUCCAGUGAAUGAUCCCCCGUACCUGAAGCUCCCUGAAGGAAACAUGCUUCUCCUGUUUGAGAAUUCUAAGAAACGACUGACUCCGAAUAUCAUACAUGUGUCAGACCCUGACACAGAUCCUUUCAGUCUUAGCUUCUCUGUUCUUGGCAACUUCAAUUUAGAUGCUGGGUUUUUGGAAAACACCAAUCAUCCUGGGAAAGCCAUCAAUAGUUUUACGCAUGGGGAUUUAAGAGAUGGGAACAUUUUCUAUGUGCACAGAGGUCAUCGGAACUCCCGGAUCCUUCUGCGAGCAAGCGAUGGAGAGCUGGUUAGCAAUACGGUAGUGUUACGGGUCAUGGCUGUUCCUUGGGACUUUGAAGUGGUCAUUAGAACCAGUGCAGUCGUCCAGCAGGGUGGCGCGGUUCUGAUUACACAGAGUGACUUGUCGGUGGAGGUUAAUGGUGAACCCCAUGAGAUGGAGACCCGCUAUGCUAUCACUCAUCCACCCCAAUUUGGCCAGAUUCAGCGGCAGGGAUCAAGUGGUGAAUGGAAACAAGUUAGUACCUUUUCUCAGCGUUCCAUCAAUCGGGGUCGGGUCCGGUACCAUAGUACAUUUCGAGGAUUACAGCUAGAUAAUAUUACAGAUCACUUUAAAUUUAAAGUUAACGUAGAAGGAAAAAUCAGUGAAGAGCUGAUGUUUCCUAUUACUGUCCACUGGCUUAAGUUUAUACUUCUGAAAAAUGUUCCUCUCAAGGUCAAUAAAAUAAGCAGACAAAUACUGAACUCUGAUCAUUUGCAGGCUGUGACAGAGGGUGUGGACGUAACUCAAAGAGAACUGCAUUUUAAGUUACUGACCCCACCUAAGAAAGGAAAAUUGCUAGUUGGCAAUAAAAUUCUAAAAACAAACUCCAUCUUCAGCCAACAAAACAUUUCAGACUCUAAGAUAAGUUAUGAGCUACAGGAGAGGCUCAGGGAAGACACACAAGAUACCUUUAGGUUCUUGAUUGUUGCAAAGCACAUAGAAUCAAAAGAUUAUACUUUCAGAAUAAACUUUGAAGCAGAUAAGACACGCAUUAUUGUAACUAACAAAGGAUUAUUUGUAAAAGAAGGAGAAGAGAAAUUAAUUACAAAAUCAGAAUUAUUUGCUCAAACACUGGACAAUCGGACCUUCCAAUAUAAAAUCACCAGGAGUCCUCAACAUGGAAAGCUGAAACUGGUUAACUUCUCAGAUCCUCUGGGAAGUCAUGACAGUAUCACUGAGUUCACUGAUCAAGACUUAGAGGGUGAACGGCUGAUGUAUGUCCAUGAUGACUCCGAGACUCAGUGUGAUGAAUUCCUCCUUGUGGCCUCCACUGCAGGUCCAGGCCAGGAGGGAGUGGUCAGGCAUCUUGACACAGAACAUUUAUCUAUAGAAAUCAAAGUUGCCAUUUCUGUAGAGUUAAGGAAUGAUGAGAAACCAGUGCGUGUGGUAGAUAAGGUCUUUCAUGUCGUGAGGAAUGGCCAGCGCCUACUGACCCUGGCAGAUCUCUGUUACCAUGACCCAGACUCAGAUUUUGAUGAUGGGCAGUUGCUCUACACCCGGCGGGGCAUCCCAAAUGGAGACUUGGUGAGAGCCAGUGAUCCCACUCAGAAACUCUACCAGUUCAGGCAAGAUGACCUGCGCGAAGGGCGAGUGCUCUUCAGGCAUAAGGGUGCCGACUCCGCCCGCUUUGUGCUGUUUGUGACAGAUGGUGUCCAUUACACAUCAUCCCUUCUUGAGGUCACUGUGUCAGACCCUUACAUCCAGAUAGCCAACAACACGGGCCUGGUUGUACAAAGAGGAGAGGGCAGCAGCCUCACAGCAUCUAACCUCAGUGUUACCACAAACCAAGAUGUUAGAACAGACCAUGAGAUUGAAUUCCACAUGCUGCAGCCCCCAAAGCAUGGCAGAGUGCUGGUCAACCACUCAGUGUCCCACACAUUUUCCCAGCAUGACCUGAAGCAAGGACAUGUGAUUUAUAGGCAUGAUGGCAGUGGCAACUCCGAUAUGUUCAACCUGAGAGUGAAAGUUAAAGAGAUCUAUGUAGAAGUGAGCGUCUACAUACAAGUGUACUCAGAAAGCCACCAACAUCAUGCCCAAAUUCUGCUCAUCAAGACCCUUGUAGUUGAAGAAGGAAAACCAGUAAAACUGAGUCGAGGAAGACUCCAGGCUGUCCACGAAGAUAAUAUUCCUUCGGAGGCAAUGUUCACCAUCAGAAUUCCGCCAAUGCAUGGAUACCUCCGGAAAUCUUUACCAGAAGAAGGCAGCUUGGGUGGAGAUGCAAAGUCCUCUCUGACUUUUACACAACAGGAUAUUGAUGAUGGGGAUAUCUUUUAUGUUCAGACAGUUCCUGGCCAACAACAGGACCGUUUUUUACUGGAUGUGGUGAAUGGUUUCCAAGCUGUGAAUGGAAUUGAAAUCUUAGUGGAUAUUGUCCCUAAGCAGAUUCCUCUGGAGGUACAAAAUUUCACAGUCCAAGAAGGUGGUUCCAAAACACUUCUGGAAGACUAUCUCAAAAUUCCAAACAAAUAUUUUGAGGGAGUUGACUGUGAAUUUGUUCUCCUCAAACCACCAAAACAUGGUUAUGUUGAAAAUUCUAAUUUUCCAAGAGUAAAGCUAAUGAAGUUUACCAGGAAACAGGUGGAAAAUGAAUUGAUUUCUUAUGUGCAUGAUGAUAGUGAGGAGCUUCUCGACAAUUUCACCGUCUUUGCAAACAGCUCAGAGCUUGGAAAACAGAGCUUGCCCCAAACUCUUUUUGUAACGGUGGAAUCGGUAAAUGAUGAGGCUCCAGUAAUAACAGUCAACAAAAUCCUUCAGGUGUGGGCUAAUUCUGUCACUGAGAUUACCAGAGGUGACCUCUGUGCAGAAGAUAAAGACUCCUCCCCACAGGACCUCACCUACUGGGUCACUCCACCCAGCAACGGGCAUUUGGCUCUCCAGUCCUUUCCUGGCCAAAGCAUCCAGAACUUCACCCAGGCUCAAAUCAACAAGGGCCAGCUCAUAUUUGUACACACUGGAGCCAUGUCAGGAGGCUUUAAUUUUCAGGUUACUGAUGGUUUGAACUUUGCACCACGACAAAUUUUUAGCAUCACUGCUCGAGCCCUGACUCUUAGCUUAGAAGUAAACCGAGGAUUGAGCAUCUUUCCAGGUUCCAUGAAACCCCUUUCAUCUGGUGACCUGAGAGCUGUGACCAAUGACGCAGACAGCAAAGGAAACAGAACUGUAACUUUUACGGUUAUAAGUCCCCCUAGACUGGGGAGGUUGGUGCGAGUAAAUUCUGAUAACAGCACAGAGGAUGUUUCCGUGUUCACACAGAAUCUGGUCAGUGAACAGCUCAUAUUAUACCAACAUGUGGACCGUGAAAACACUGGCUGGACUGCAGAAGACUCUUUCACGUUUACGACAUCCUCUCCACCAGCAGCUCUAAGCCCUGAGGAGUUUCAUAUUACUAUUUCAUAUGAAGUUACAGAACCAGGUCGGCAGAGUCGUCUGCUUGCAAAUACAGGAGCUUUUGUCAAGGAGGGAGGCAAAGUUCUCAUUGACCAAUCUAAUUUAGAUGCUUCCAACCUCUUACUGAAGUUGCCCAAAUCUCAGCGAUCUUCCUAUGAAAUCUGGUUCCAGGUUAUAUCUCUUCCCCAUCAUGGAACCAUUAUUGUUGGAGAGAGGAAUAUUACCAAAGGAAAACCCAAUUUCUCCCAGUAUAUAGUUAAUAAAUUUGGAAUCAUAUACCUUCAUGAUGACUCUGAAUCACUGGCUGAUAAUUUUACUUUUGCCGUUUGGCCAAAACAAAAGAGCAAGUCCACCACCAAGCCGGAGACUGACUUCCUUGAAGAGAUGUUUAACAUCACUAUCUCUCCUGUUAAUGACCAGGCACCAGAAAUAAAGACAAAAGGGCUUCGGUUGAAAGUUCUGCAGGGAAAUAGGUUGGUUGUAGGACCUGAAAACCUAAGAGUGGAAGAUCUAGACAGCCCUCCAGAGGAGAUCAGAUAUAUGAUCAUUCGUAAUCCUAAUAAUGGCUUUUUGGCAAUGGCUCACCAUCCAGACAUACCUAUUCACCAUUUCACGCAAGCCGACAUUGAUAACUCUCAGGUAUGGUUUGUACAAGAUGGAAGCCCAUCCUCGGGUGUGUUUUACUUUAGUGUGACCGAUGGCCAACACCGCCCACUCUAUAAGCUCUUCCACCUGGAUGUCAUCCCCAUCUCCAUCACCCUUGUGAACCUCACUGACCUACUUCUCCCACAAGGCCAGACAACUGUCCCCAUCACCAAUAUUCACUUGUCAGCAACGACCAAUGGGAGAAGCCCCCAAAUCACUUACAAGAUGACAUGGCCCCUCCAACACGGGCAUCUGCUCAUUGAAAACCAGAUGGUCAUCAGCUUUGGACAGGAAGAUCUGUAUUCAGGGAGACUCUUUUACCAUAUGACAAAUCUCACUGCCUCAGAGGACCAGCUAUAUUUCUCACUAUUUACAUCAGAAAGCAACUUGACUGGACAAAUGCUGAACAUCAGAGUGCAGCCUUUACUGUGCGUUAUGUCAAACCUGACAGUUACCAACAGAGAGAUUUAUCAUCUGAAAAGACAGGACCUUGAUGCUACUGAGCUUGCUAAUAGGACUAACAGUGAUCCCAAAUUUGAAGUAAUAGCACCCCCUGCUCAUGGAAGACUUGUACGAAGAGUAGGCCAAGGCAUGGCAAUAGAAAAUACUACUCUUUUCACUCAGAGUGACAUUGACCAAGGGUUGUUGAUGCUUCAUCCAUAUGCCAACCUAACAGGCAUCGAUAUGCUAAAUGACUCCUUCACCUUCUUGCUCAAGGCAGACCAUGUACAGCCAGCAAUAGGUUAUCUUCCCUUCACUAUAGUGCCACCUGAUCCCCUCUGUCUGCAAACCUUUACCCCUGAUGUUUCUUUAUUGGCUACUGCAGAUAAUCUUGUGACUUCAGAUCAUUCUCAAGAGAAGCCCGUGGUUUACUCAGGACCCACAGCAAAGACAGAAACUCUGGGGAAGCUGACCCAGACCAUGCAGCAGGAAGCAGAUCCACGGGGACAACACCACGGUGAAGAGCCUACUCUGGAUGGCAAGACUUCUCUAACCAGGGUCAUUUGGCCACCAGACACCACCAGUGCCAGUCCUGGGGCACCCACCAAGCCCAGGGAGAAUAGUUAUCCUCUAAUGGUCAUUGUACCCUUGGCUAUGGUGGUCUUCCUGCUGAUAGUAACUGCAGUGGCCUUGUGUGUCUGGCUGCUGGGCCAGAAGGUAGAAAAGACAAAACCUCUUAUCAAGCCCCAGACCAGUCUGGAACCUACAACCCCAAGUCCUAGGCCAGAAAGGAGCAUAACUGUACCCACUGUCACAGUGACACCCCUUCUAAAAAGCUCCAGCAGUCCCCCAGUCAGUCUUUUCAGGGACCCACAAAGUGAGCAAAUGGCUUCUCCAGCUACUGAGCCAGUGGAGAAAUGUGCUCCUUGGGAGACAUGGAUGAAUCUGGAUCCUGAUAUGGUCAACCUCUGCCGACAAACCAACCCAACACUGAAGCACAACCAGUAUUGGGUGUAGACUAAGUGCUCUUGUCCUUGAUUGACCACUUACUGUACUGGGAUAGGCACAGAAAUGUUGGGAUGUGAUACAAAGGCAAAGAUGUUUGUUGGAUCAACUGAGAAAAGUCUGGCCCUGCCAGUCACUCAGUGCUCAGUUAUGGCCCCAUGGCUAGAGGUGGACGAGUGUUUAUUGUAACUCAUACAACACUCAUCUGAUGGGCUCUCCACAAUGAACUUUGCCUCCUUCUGAACCUGACUCUGAGUAUAAGAUUUUGUCAAUUUUUGAACCCUUUAUCAAGGUGCUACCAAACAUGCUGGUCCAACUAGGAGCAGCAGUAUUAACUUGGGUGCUAGAAUUAAUGGAGGAAGGUUUUGAAUAUUUUUCAGUAAGGAUUCACUCUCUCUAAGUGAGUCAGCAAGAAAAUAUAGGAAUUGUAUCAGCAAGCAGAAAAGGUAACUUAUCAAAUCAGCAAGUUUGCUUCUUGUGUAUUUCUGUAAUGUCUUUUCCUCCGUGGAGUCUCUAGACUUGACUUCCCAUGGCAGGAAAUGCCUUGGUGCUCUAGAUAGUAGGACAAUCUGACUCCCUUUGAAAGCAUUCACUGAGCAUAUUGUGUUUCCUCAAGAGGCUUUGUCUAUUCUGAUUUGCAAAAACACAUGUGUAGUACAAAUAUGAUUUGAAACCUUAAUGAAUAGAAAAGUCUGUUAAAUGUUUUGUGAUGCCUCAAUUUGGCUUAACUUUACAAUGAAUUGAAAAGAAUGGCAAAUUUGUAUUUGACUUCUCUGGUUGAGCCUACUAUUGGCAGAUUCAAGCUUCAGUUUCUAUAGUUGUAAAAUGAGGAUACCAGAACUUAUAUUAGUUAAGAGUGCUUUGGGUUGAAAAUCACAAGACGUUCACUAUGAAUGGUUUAGAUUGGGGAUUGGCAAACUUUAUCCAGACAGGGCCACAUAGUAAAUAUUUUAGACUUUGAGGGUCCCAUAUGUCUGUUUAUUUUUAACAACCUUUGUUUCUUAACAACCUUUUAAAAAUAUAAAAAAACAAUUCCUAGUUCCUGCAUUUGACCUGUAAAUCAUAGUUUGCCAACUAUUGAUUUGGCUAAACAAUAAAAGUGUUGAAUUAUUUCAGCUAAUAAGCAGCCUGAGGUGGACAUUCCAAGGCUGAUUCAGUGGUUCGAAGAUGUCAUCAAGGACUGAAGCCCUUUUGUUCCUUCUGCCCUACCUUCCUCAAGCUGUUGUGCAUUUCAUUUCUUUUUUUUUUUUUUUUGCUUAGUUCCUUGGGAUUAUGAGGGGCUGCUAAUGUUCCUAGCAGUACCAUCACAUUCAAAGACAGACACUCUAGUGGGGAAAAAAACAGAUAUGGCAAAAAGACUUUUUUUUAGAGAGGAUCUUAUUUAUUAUUAUUAUUUUUUAAUCUUAUAAGGGGAGGCCUUCUCAAACAUUCCCCCUUUAUGUCUCAAUCUAGAAUGGGGAAAUGGGCAAAAGGGAAUGGAAUUCUCAUGACUAAUGAUCUCUCCAGGGGCUGGGAGAAGAUUCUGCUAUGUCAGAGAUCAGUGGAUGAGCCCACCAUAUAGUUACAAUAGGAUUUGCUAAAGUAGUCUUCAAAUAUGAAAUACUUGGGAAAUAAGAAUUUUGAUCUUUCAAAUGGAUGUCUACUUUAAUGUCUCCUUUUCAUAUUUUAAAGAUUUUCUAAAAGCCAGUGGCUAGUGUUUCUAGGGUGGAAGGAAGAAUUGCCCCUGGAAGGGGGCCAUUUGGCAGGGUCUGAAGACAUUUUUGGUUUUCACAACAGGUGCAGUUGGCAUCCAACAAACAAAACUGGAGGGAAGACUCAUUUCUUUAUAUUCCUUGAUAAAGGAAAAGAUUUUACCUUGUACUAACAGGUGGAAUACAUCAGGAGACAAUAAAAGAAGGGAGGCAGGAUAUUUACAAAGGUAAAGAUGAGGUUGAGGUCAAAGGGUCCCCAGAAGUCGAAUGCCUCUGAUAUGUUCCAUGUGGACAAGAAUUUUUUCUCAUCCUUUCCCUUUUCUGCUCCACUAGGUUGCUUUUCUGUCCCAACCCAGUUUUAACUGCUCUUUGUGGAAACAGACUUCAUAAUCUACAGAAUAUAUGAAAGCAUAGCAUACUUGGGCCUAGAAAUAACUACCCAUGUAUUAGAUCCCUGGCUCUAACGCUAUGGACAGCUGGUACUAAAGAAAACUUCUCUUCUCCCUAAAGUGAUUUUUUCCUGUCUUUCUGUAUUCCUGAGUUAUAUGUAGCCUCUUUUAAGUGUUUUCGUACUUGACCCUUUUAGAAAGGAGGAGGACUGAAAAUCUUAACCCAAGGUUGAUUUGAUCACUAUGCAACUCAAAAUUAUUCUUAAGCUUGUUCUAAGCAGCAGAGUAUUCUGAAGGUACAGAAAGCAGUGUGUACUUGAGUCUGCACGCAGAAAGGUAAGGUUAAGGAACAUCUUUGCAUCCAGUAAGCGGAUUUUGUUUUUUCUUAGCUGAGCAAGGAGAAUGCCUGUUCUUUGUGGAAGAGCCAGAUAUAGUUGGCUCUAUGACCAUGUUGGCCUCUUCCUUGCUUUGACUAUAAGAUCUGUGAAGUUCAGAUUACCAGCCUGGCCAAACAAAAAAGUCCAAUUUCCCCUUCUCUUUUCCUUUUAAUUCUGCAACUUUAUACAAAUAAAAUUAGUGUCCGUGUUGGAAUGAAACAGACACUGAUGCUUUGAAAUGAUAAUGCACAUUGUGAGUGUGCGUGCUAGAGCAGGAACAUCAUCAGCAUGAGAUCCAGAUGUCAAAACUCAGUAAUUAGUUGAGUAAUUAAUAUAGAACUUGGAAAGUUUUCUUCCAGAACAUCUAGAAUAUUCUUCUGAUUUACAGAUGGAUUCAAUUAAAAAAAAUGCCUACCAUUUGGUGCUGGCUCAAAUAUAAAACUAAACAACAAGCUUUGGCAAAUCCUUGUUUAGUGUUGAAAAUUAAAGUUUUGGGAAUUGAAAAUCAGUUUGAAAUGCUUUCUCCCAUACACAGAGCUACAACUGCAUAGUCUCUGUCAUAAUGAAUUCAGUACCACUUAACAGGUGGCCAGACCAUUAAUAAGUGGAUACCAAAGGUUAAUGUCAGAAGAAUGGCUGAUUUUUGCUUAAAAGAAAGUAUACCUUGGGAUACUUUCUUGGGACACCUGGGAGUGAAGGCUCUAACACUUUUCCAUAUCUCUAGGCAUUGACAAAUUCUAAUCUUUCAGGGACCCUGGUCAAACACCUGGUGCGCUUCCUUAGAGUCCUUCAUUAAUUAGGUGGUGUGGGACAGGUGCUAUCCCUACUCUCUGGUUUUUCAGAUUUCCAGGACUGUAGUAGACACAUUUGGAGGUUGGAUGUAGGUAAUGGAAGGUGAUGGAACAAAUCAGAUGAUAUCCCCCAAGUUUGACAAUGGGACUGUGCUACGCACCUCUUGUAUCUUUCAGUAGCAUUGUUAUCAAUAAUGAGUUCGAUGUUGGCCAUGUAUAGGGACAGAUGUCGGGCUGAAAGUGGGCAUGGAGUCUACUGUGAGGCAUACUCAGUGAUGGAACCUUUGGCUUGGAAGCUGAAGAACACCACUGGCUGCUUGACAGAGGCCUGGAAGAGGCUACAUUCUCAUAACAAUUGGCCAAUAUUUAUUAGGCACCUACUGUAUGUGAGCAGUACUAGAUACUGCUCCUAGAUACUGAAGAUGCAAGAUGUAAUCCUGAAAGAAUCUUUCUGGUCUGUUUCCUCUAGUAGGUUCUUCCAGAAUCACACAAGGAGUGCCAGGAGAGAGGAUGGUAUAGGAAAAGAUGUACAAAAAGAACUAGAGGUCAAGAAAGGGCUUUGUGCUUUCACUUGAAGCGCUUUUAAGCCAGUACUGCCCAUCCAGCAGUAUAGUGAGAAUGAGGGAGCUUGCUGACCCACUAAGCGCCGCCUGGUACCAUCUGUCUCUCUAGGUGCCCCACCAGGCCCAGUGACACUGCUUCUGCUUUGGACCCUGGCUCUCGGCUUCUAAGUGGUGUGGCUUUGAGUAACAUAUUCAGCAUCUCUGAAUUUCAGUUUCCUCGGCCAAAAAUUGGGGAUAAUAUUAGCACCUACCUACCUGUUUGGGUUUUGUUAGGAUUUAGUGAUGUUAAUAUCAUCAUCAUCAUCAUCAUCGCCAUUGUCAUCAUUCAUCUUCAUCUUUGUACAAUAUUCUCAGUGCAUCAGGCACUAUACUAACUGCCACAAAAAAAUUGUCUUACCUACAGUUUUAAUGCAUUUUAAAAGAAUUAAUGGGUUCUUUAAAGGGUGCCUCAGUGGCAGGUUGAGGCCUCAAACUCUUGGUUUUAGCUUCACGUCAUGAUCCUAAGGGUUGUGAGAUUGAGCUCUACAUCAGGCUCCAAGCUCAGAAUGGAGUCUGCUUGUCCCUCUCUCUCUGCCUCUCCCACUCAUGCUUUUUCUCUCUCUAAAAUAAAUAAAUCUAAAAAAAAUUAAAAAAAUAAAAUAAGUAAAUCUUUUAAUUAAUUAAUUAAUUAAUUAAUUAAAGAACUAGUACAUUAAAUCACUUAAGUAAACCGAGGCUAUUCAUUUUCUACCCAAAGCAGCAGGUUACUGGUAGUAGAAUUUCAGUGGGUGAUUUAAGGAUAGAUGACGUAUUCUUUAGAGGAGCUUCCCAAAUGCUCACGUUCCACUGGGCAGGGAGUCUUUCCCCUUCAUCCUUGGAUGGAGCUUUGGCAAGAAAAUGGAUGAAAGAAAGAGCAUGCCAGGAACACUUGCAAGGGCCAGCCCGGAGCUCAGGGGUUUUGAUGGUUCUCUAUCUUAUAUGGGGUGCUGAACUUAUGACGAAAAACCCUGCUUUGUUCCCUUCCUGUCCCAACAGGUUCAAAACCCUACAUCAAUCAGGCCUUUGAUUUUAAACCUAUAUCCCUUCUCCCACCUCCCAUCCCAUUAUUCUCAGUCAUUCAUAGACCAGUGAUUUUCUUUUUAAGUCCAGGACAAGGAUUGCCACUUAAAAAUAUUUUUUUUAAUUUUUAUUUAUUUAUGAUAGUCAUAGAGAGAGAGAGAGAGAGAGAGAGAGAGAGAGGCAGAGACACAGGCAGAGGGAGAAGCAGGCUCCAUGCACCAGGAGCCCGACGUGGGAUUCGAUCCCGGGUCUCCAGGAUCGCGCCCUGGGCCAAAGGCAGGCGCCAAACCGCUGCGCCACCCAGGGAUCCCACCACUUAAAAAUAUUAAUAUCAUACCUUACCAAAAUAAAAAGUGCUAUUUACCAUCACUAUAAUUUCAUUUCUUAAGGACAAGGUCUUAUAAUAAAGAACUUUAUGGGGAAAAAAAUAAACAGCUUUAUGAAAAAUUUUCUCCUUUGCCCAGAUUUGACCAUGGCUUGGAAAGACUCAGCACACACCAGCAGAGUCACGAACCCCCAUUGAGGCUUCACUUAUAGUUACGUGGCCAGAGCUGACGGAGAGACAGGGAAGAGAGCUCCUCGAUGUUGGUGUUUCUUCAGAAGAUGUGGUCAGCUGUCCCUGGGAUGUGUGUGUCUGUGUGUCUGUGUGUCUGUGUGUCUGUGUGUGUGAGGGGAGAUGAGGUGAGGCAUGGGGAUGAGGAGUAACUUGCUAUUUAAGAGUCCAGACAAGGCCAGCUCCUGGGCAUAUGCAACCAGUGCAGCCACACAGGGCUCAGGAGGACUCUGGGCUUGGCUUAAGGCUCUGCUGUAACCAUCUUGAAAUUCCAAUAAUUUUUUAACAAAGCGCUCACAUUUUUAUGCCUCACCGGGCCCUGCUAAUUCUGUAGCUGAUCCUGAGAUGUCACAGAACCUAGUGGAUGAUUGCACCAGACAUCUCUUAAGCAUUGCUUCAAAUUCUCUCAACGUGGCUUCUUCCUCCAGCUACGACUGUGGCUACCAGUUCUGAGCAUAUGUACAGCUGCCAAUGAAUGUACAGUGUUCUCCAAGUCCCUCUGUCCCCAUGCCUGUGGGAACCAGAAGUGGGAGAGUUACUUCCCCACUUACUGCCCUUACCCAGCAGCAAAGAGAAGCUGAGGAAUAAAUACUUCUUUUUUUCAACCCAGGGGUAAACAGUUCUAAGAUGCAUUCUGUGAGGCUUCUCAGAAUGUCCUAAAGAUUAAAGACAAAUCAAGACAAAUCACAUGGGUGUGUGGACAUUCUUCCUCCCUAUGUAUUAACCCUCGCUCUUGUUCCCACUCACAGAUGAGCCUUUGCUGUUAAGGAAACCCAGGCUAGGACAAUAGGCUAAAAUCUAAUUCUCCUUGUAUCAUGUGCCCUGGGACUAUGAGCCCUGCUGCUAGGGGUCCACUGCCUCAUGGUUCUUGCAGGACCCUUAGGAAUAGUUAAUUCUGGGUUACUUACCUUGAGGCCUGCACCCAGUGGGAUCCCUUUGGUCACACAGCCCAGGUCUACUGGGACACUGCUGUCUGCUGGGAGCCAGGAGGCCUUGUAGUAGUGGCAGACCCUAACCCGAGGCUGUUUUGGGAUCAACCAAAGAGGAGCCAGGGCUUUACCAAACCACCGUCUAGUUAAAAAUCUCAUGCUUCAUUGUAGGUUCUCUGCUGGUUGUGCUGGGUUUAAAAAACAAUAACUCAUUAACCACAACUUUUAGCAAGACCAAAUUUACUGCAUUUUGUAAUAUUUGAGAAAUGGUCUUCUGCAUUUCAUUUCAGCACUGCUCAUGGCUCCUCAAAGUAAAGACUACCUCAGCGCUUGUUUUGGAGGCUAUGUCUGCUGCGGGCCCUAUCCCAGCUCACCCCAGAUGAUUGUUGAAGUUUAGGUCGUUCCAGCAAGUGGGAAGAGCCGGAGGGAUCAUACAAGCUUUGUUUGCUUUGAAGAUGGAUAUCCAAGCAUCACAGGAUGUUAAAAGGGAAGAUUUGACAAAAACACCAAGUCAAGAGAUGCCACAGCUGGAUGUAAAAGGCUUUGCUAUGCUAAAAUAUUUUCAGAAGAAAUGACAGAAAACAGGCCAGAUGACUCUUAAACUCCUCCUCUACAUUCUCGGUGGAAGAGUCAGGAAUUGGAAACAGGUAAAGAAGAAUUUUAGAGCUGUUGUUUUGUUUGUUUGUUUUUGUGUGUUGUUUUGUUUUGUUUUUGUCAUGAGUCCUACCCCUUUUCUUCCUUUAAGAAAAGGGAUGGAAGUGUCUGAACUUUUAACUUAAGCUUAGGGAAAGGGGCUUCAAGAGAUCUACAUUGAGCUUAAUAUAUGUUCCCUGCACCUGAGGAGCACAGAAUAGUCUAAAGUGUGAGUUGUUCCUGGAGAUUCAAUGAAACAGUUGUUUUGAUGAUACAAUGAAGAGGUACCCAUGACAGGAGGGAGGUGAGCCCUUCCAGAGUCUGUCAGGUCAAUACAUGAGUGACUAGAAGUGGAUCCAGAGAGCAAGCUGGCAUAAGGUCAUCUUAGGGCCAAUCAAGAGGGUGGCCUAGAGACUUAAGACUUAAGCAGAGAGAGAAGCUGAGGAACUCCUAGAUUUCUAGAAAAUGAGGGGGGAAAGGAAGUGACCAGCCAGAGAACACUUGCAUUUUGCCCUGCCAAGGAAUUGCAGUUAAGAGAUCUCCAAAAAUCGGGAUCCCUGGGUGGCGCAGUGGUUUAGCACCUACCUUUGGCCCAGAGCGCGAUCCUGGAGACCCGGGCUCAAAUCCCACGUCGGGCUCCCGGUGCAUGGAGCCUGCUUAUCCCUCUGCCUGUGUCUCUGCCUCUCUCUCUCUCUCUCUCUCUCUCUCUCUCUGUGUGUGUGUGUGUGUGUGUGACUAUCAUAAAUAAAUAAAAAUUUAAAAAAAAAGAGAGAUCUCCAAAAAUCUUUGAAGAGCCAUGUCAAAGCUCAUGAGAAAAGUCACUUUAAGCUUGUGCAAAAACAGAGAUUACAAAUUCUAACUUUACAGGUAAGUAGGAACGUUUCCUGGAGAGGCUGAAACAUGAUUAGUCAGAAGAAGAGAUGUGAGAGAAGAGCUACCCUUUUCUUCCUUGACUUGAGGCCCAAAUCAGAGGAGGGGAAGAAGGCUCAACUUAGAAGCAAAUUUGAAAUUUUGACUAAUAUAUAAGGCUGACAUUUUAAUGCUAAACUGAAAUUGUAAUUUGUGACUUGAAAUGACCCUAGAAUUGUGUGUAUGACCCAACAGUGACUAGAAAAUUCUUGAGAACUUCCCCUACCUGACUGAAAACAUAGUAGGCACGGACCCGCAUAGUUAAUUGAAAGGGUCAGUGGAAGACAAAAAUAAAGUUGUUUUCUUCUUAUACUUCAUGUACUGUUUGUUCAACAUAACUUUUUUGUGAGAAUGAUGAAUUUCUGUUUAUCAGAAUCUCACCUCCACUACAGGGCUGAGUGCUGAAUGCGUUUAAUUUUAUUCCAAAUCUGAUUUCACUACAAUACUGCCUGUCUACCUUCUUCUUCAUCCAAAAGGCCUUGUCUGAUCACUCCAGUUAGAAGAUCUCAGUCCCUUAAUGGACAUUUAUCCUUCUUUCUGGCUGCUAAGCAUACUUAUGACUGGGAAAUCUCCUAUUUUUUGAGGUAGAGCUCUCUCUUCCAGAUACAGAAGCUGAAAUGUCAGAUACUCAAGUCCCAACCUUCCUGCAGCUAGUGUGCAAACAUAGCCACCACUGGGAGGAAGCAGGGGCUGUCCCAAGUUCACCAGCUUUCCUGCUUAACACACUGUGACACAUGAUGGUAGCAGAAGUGACAUCUAGUUUCGAAGGCAGCGAUGACAGAUAAGGGCCCAGUUUGUGGUGUUGGUGGUGAAGCCUGUAGUGUCUGCGCCCAGCAUGGGCUACAUAGUCUUUGUUGGUCCAGUUCUUUGGGCCAAACACUGUGGGUCUGGCAACAGUUCCUGGCUCUGUAGCCACCAUAACUGGUCCUCUGGUGCUC